rnacentral:miRNA from 7 species
AGGUCCUGUUACUCCCCGAUCCGAGGGUCGUGCCUGGUUUUGCUCCC